rnacentral:rRNA from 1 species
UGGGGAAUCUUGCGCAAUGGGCGAAAGCCUGACGCAGCGACGCCGCGUGAGUGAUGAAGGCCUUCGGGUUGUAAAGCUCUGUGGGGAGAGAAGGAUAAGUGCGGGCUAAUACUCCGCAUGAUGACGGUAUCUCCUUAGCAAGCACCGGCUAACUCUGUGCCAGCAGCCGCGGUAAGACAGAGGGUGCAAACGUUGUUCGGAAUUACUGGGCGUAAAGCGAGCGUAGGCGGUUUGGUAAGUCGGAUGUGAAAGCCCCGGGCUCAACCCGGGGAGUGCACUCGAUACUGCCAAGCUAGAGUGUCGGAGAGGUUGGUGGAAUUCUCGGUGUAGAGGUGAAAUUCGUAGAUAUCGAGAGGAACACCGGUGGCGAAGGCGGCCAACUGGACGAACACUGACGCUGAGACUCGAAAGCGUGGGGAGCAAACAGGAUUAGAUACCCUGGUAGUCCACGCCGUAAACGGUGGGUGCUAGGUGUCGCGGGCUUUGACUCCUGCGGUGCCGUAGCUAACGCAUUAAGCACCCCGCCUGGGAAGUACGGCCGCAAGGCUAA